AACUUUCAGCAGUGGAUGUCUAGGCUCGCCACAUCGAUGAAGAACGCUGCGAACUGCGAUACGUAAUGCGAAUUGCAGGAUUCAGUGAGUCAUCGAAAUUUUGAACGCAUAUUGCACUUCCGGGUUAGUCCUGGAAGUAUGCCUGUAUCAGUGUCCGUA
rnacentral:rRNA from 1 species